rnacentral:rRNA from 1 species
CGUGGUGGUUAUUGCUGGAGGGUCACACCCGGUCUCAUUCCGAACCCGGUCGUUAAGUCUCUUUGCGCUGAUGGUACUGCUCUGUGAUGGGGUGGGAGAGUAGGUCGCUGCCACGG